rnacentral:rRNA from 1 species
GAUGAACGCUGGCGGCGUGCUUAACACAUGCAAGUCGAACGGUGAAGCCAAGCUUGCUUGGUGGAUCAGUGGCGAACGGGUGAGUAACACGUGAGCAACCUGCCCUGGACUCUGGGAUAAGCGCUGGAAACGGCGUCUAAUACUGGAUAUGAGCCUCUAUCGCAUGGUGGGGGUUGGAAAGAUUUUUCGGUCUGGGAUGGGCUCGCGGCCUAUCAGCUUGUUGGUGAGGUAAUGGCUCACCAAGGCGUCGACGGGUAGCCGGCCUGAGAGGGUGACCGGCCACACUGGGACUGAGACACGGCCCAGACUCCUACGGGAGGCAGCAGUGGGGAAUAUUGCACAAUGGGCGGAAGCCUGAUGCAGCAACGCCGCGUGAGGGAUGACGGCCUUCGGGUUGUAAACCUCUUUUAGCAAGGAAGAAGCGAAAGUGACGGUACUUGCAGAAAAAGCGCCGGCUAACUACGUGCCAGCAGCCGCGGUAACAC